CUCCCCCCGCGGCCCGACUCUGUCCCGCCGCACAGCCCGCCUCGCCCGCCCCCACCCCCCUCCUCCUUCCCUUCCCCUGCGGCCGCCGCCUACUCCCCUCCCCGCUACCUCGCGUCGCCGCUGUCACGGCCAUCACGAUCCCGGUCUGCGCCCGGCCCGCGUCACGGCCGUCGCGUCCCUGGCACGGCCCACGCGCCGUCUUAUCCCCGCACUGCCUCGCCGCCGCAAGUACCGCCAUCGCAGCCCCGUCGCGCUGCACAGCCCGCUGUCGCCGCCGUCGCGAAAGCCACCGCAGCCCGCCGCUGCCGCCACCAACUCCGCCACGCAUCCACAUCCUGCCCGAGCUGUCGGCAGCCCUAUCCCGCCGCCGUCCGUCAGAGACAGCCCUGCCUCGACGCCCAUCGGGUAUUCAGGCAAAGACCUGAUUCGUUUGCAUGCAAGUACGGACUACUAUCUAUUGUUUCUGAGAGAAUUCAAUCGCCUGCUUUUACGAUUUUCUCCUUUGCCCUCCUCCAAUUGCAAUUUCUUCCCGGAGAUCAAUCGUUUCUAGCAUCACUGUCAACGAAGUAGAUGAGAAACAGUAUGUUAGUGUGUUCACAAAUUAGAUACAUGUGUUUAUUGUGACGGGAGACAGUAGAUUUCUUGGAUACCACUAUAGAGCUGUAGCCAAUUAGCAAUAAUUUUUUGUUUCUCUUAUGGAUAACUCAAGUGAUCUGUGCUUAUUGAAUUUAUGGACCUAGACUAGAUGGAACUUGUGGUGAAAAUGCUGUCCGUUGUCAACUUCUUAUUGCUAGAGGAGCCAACCUUGCUGCACAAACUGCUAGCGGCUUGACCCCAUUAAUGGUAAUCGGUAGCUCAUUCAUGGCAUAGAAACUCUCUCGAGGAAAUUCUAAGCAAUGAACCAGAGGAUCGACUACGUACUCUUUCCUCUCCCUAUCCAUGCCUCCCACUUAUGAGUAUCAUGAGCAUUGCCAGGUUGUGGAAUCCCAUCAGAGCUGCCCCGUUACUGUAGGGGUAGUGAACUGAUUUCACAAGACAAUAGUACUCUGUAUUCCAUACUUUGUUCAUGCCAGCAUCUUCCUGACACAAGAUGACCAUAUCAAGGGCUCUCUGAAGUCUGAAGGAUGAAAUGCAAGACUACCUGGUUCUAAAUCUCAGGUCUGUAAACCUUUUCAAUACAACUGAGACACAAUGCUUUUGUGUUUUCUGGAAGACAAUGAAAAUAUCUCAGGUCUCUGGCGUAUGCUCUCCGAAGUCCCAACUUCACUGAAAGUGGUACAACUGAAAUUCAGUAUUUUCUGCUCUCCUUUGGAACCGUAGGUACAGAAUUCCACUCUUCUUUUAUAGUUCGUCUGGUUCUUGCGUAUGUGUUUUUGGCUGUGUGUACAGCGUUGUCCUUGCUAAUAUAAAUAGGAAUACAUGGCUUUAUAUGGUUCAAUAGAUUUUGGUUUCUUUUACAAGCGUGUAUCUGGAGGUCAUAUAACCUUGUGUAUUUUGAUAUACAGUUUAGUUUCUCUUGCUGCACCUGCAUGCCACUGCUGGUGACGUAGGCCGUAAUCAUGGAAAACAUGGUCUAUUAUGAAAAUAUAAAUAUACGUGGCCAGCAUCUGCAAGAUGAUAUUCUGGAAACCUGUCUGAAAACUUGACAAACAAAAGAGAGAAAAAGGAAAACAUGUUGAGCUGGUCCUAAUUCAGUUUCAGGGGAUACUUGCUAUAUUGAGUGCAGAUAUCUUUUUAUCUACAAUAAUUUAAUAUUAGCAGAUCUGCAUAAUCACUGUGUGUCUCUAGAGGAAGCAAUGAUUUUCUCUAUGGAAUAUUUAGGUUAUGAUUCCUCCAAUUUGAUAUGUUGGUGCCAUUGAUCAACGUUGUUUCUUGCUUCUUCGUUCUUUGCCAGGAUACAUGUUUCUUAUUAACGAUUUAGCUAGCUACUAUUCCGCAGGAUCUCAGACCACGUUAACUGAUCAUCCAAGCUAACCGCGAGUUCUGGCGGGCAUCCUUGCCACUGUUCUCCACCCCAGUACUACACUUUUGGUGUUUAGAGUUGGUAUAAAAUGUUUCUGGCUCACAUUGGCAUAUUUCUUUGCAGGAAUAUGGAUGAGUUAAGCAAUGGAUGACGUUGGUGUUUGUUUCUGGUACUGACAUAAAUGGUUAGGAUGUGUUAUUGGUAAUGGUGGCAUGGGAAUUCGAAAUGCUUGUUGUUGUUUCCCAUCCCGAGUCAACCAGGGCAGACUACUUACUUUUAAAAUGUGGUCCUACUAAAGCACAAUCGUAAUUUGAGCGGAGCGAGCGGAGCGUAACUCAGGGUUUGGGUUCAGGGUAUGUCAUUUCUUCUUGGAAAUUCAGUUGUAAACCUUAAUCACGUAUCCAUGUUGGUUCAAAUUUGAUGAUUUUGAAUAUUGUUUAUGUUCGAA